AACGUAGGAGACAAACGUUAUCCGGAGUUACUGGGCGUAAAGGGCGCGUAGGCGGUCUGUUAAGUCUGGCGUGAAAGCUCUCGGCUAAACCGGGAGAGGUCGUUGGAUACUGGCAGACUAGAGGACGGUAGAGGCGUGUGGAAUUCCGGGUGUAGUGGUGAAAUGCGUAGAGAUCCGGAGGAACACCAGUGGCGAAGGCGACACGCUGGGCCGAUACUGACGCUGAGGUGCGAAAGCGUGGGGAGCAAACAGG
rnacentral:rRNA from 1 species